rnacentral:rRNA from 1 species
GACGGAGGGGGCUAGCGUUGUUCGGAAUUACUGGGCGUAAAGCGCACGUAGGCGGCUUGGCAAGUCGGAUGUGAAAUCCCUCGGCUCAACCAAGGAAGUGCAUCCGAAACUGCUGAGCUUGAGUACGAAAGAGGAUCGCGGAAUUCCCGGUGUAGAGGUGAAAUUCGUAGAUAUCGGGAGGAACACCAGUGGCGAAGGCGGCGAUCUGGGUCGAUACUGACGCUGAGGUGCGAAAGCGUGGGGAGCAAACAGG